UACGUAGGGGGCAAGCGUUGUCCGGAAUCAUUGGGCGUAAAGAGCGCGUAGGCGGUCCGGUAAGUCCGCUCUGAAAGUCCGGGGCUCAACCCCGGGAGGCGGGCGGAUACUGUCGGGCUAGAGUCCGGAAGAGGCGAGUGGAAUUCCUGGUGUAGCGGUGAAAUGCGCAGAUAUCAGGAAGAACACCCGUGGCGAAGGCGGUUCUCUGGGACGGUACUGACGCUGAGACGCGAAAGCGUGGGGAGCGAACAGG
rnacentral:rRNA from 1 species